rnacentral:rRNA from 1 species
UACGAAGGGGGGCUAGCGUUGCUCGGAAUUACUGGGCGUAAAGGGCGCGUAGGCGGAUAUUUAAGUUGGGGGUGAAAUCCCGGGGCUCAACCUCGGAAUUGCCUUCAAAAACUGGAUAUCUUGAGUUCGGGAGAGGUGAGUGGAACUCCGAGUGUAGAGGUGAAAUUCGUAGAUAUUCGGAAGAACACCAGUGGCGAAGGCGACUCACUGGCCCGAUACUGACGCUGAGGCGCGAAAGCGUGGGGAGCGAACAGG